GUAAUUUCCUUUGGGGUAUCUGGUGAGCCCUGAUCCUCUCAAAUUGGUUACACAACAAAUUCAAGACAAGAAGACAAAAAGGCAGCGAGCUAAUAAUUCUUCAGAAGAAUUAAGUGACUAUCUUUGAGGUCAUGGAGGAAGACCAUGUGGAAGCCCAGAGAAAGAAGAAAAAUAGUCUGAAGACAGCUUCCUCAAUCCCCCUUCCACUGCCCAGGUUGCCUAUCCCAACAUGCUUUCACUUGGGCAUCAACAAAGGUCUUCGCGUUUGGCAGCAAAACCAGAGUAAUCUCUGAGAAGUAAAAAACAAUAAUAAAUGUU